AGAGUUUGAUCCUGGCUCAGGACGAACGCUGGCGGUGCGCCUAAUGCAUGCAAGUCGAACGGGCAAUGGGGCUUCGGCCCCGGCGCUAGUGGCAGACGGCUGAGUAACACGUAAGUGAUCUGCCCCGGAGAGGGGGAUAAUCCGGAGAAAUCCGGCCUAAUACCCCGUACGUUCAUAUGGUUACGGCCGUAUGAAGAAAGGUUUCGACCGCUCUGGGAGGAGCUUGCGGCCUAUCAGGUAGUUGGCGGGGUAAUGGCCCACCAAGCCUAAGACGGGUAACCGAUGUGAGAGCAUGAUCGGUCAGAGGGGGACUGAGACACGGCCCCCACUCCUACGGGAGGCAGCAGCAGGGAAUCUUGCGCAAUGGGCGAAAGCCUGACGCAGCGACACCGCGUGGGGGAAGAAGGCUUUAGGGUUGUAAACCCCUUUUCUGUGGGAAGAGAUAGGACGGUACCACAGGAAUAAGCAUCGGCUAACUACGUGCCAGCAGCCGCGGUAAUACGUAGGAUGCAAGCGUUGUCCGGAUUUACUGGGCGUAAAGGGUGUGUAGGCGGCAUGUUAAGUCUCAUGUGAAAUCUCCCGGCUCAACUGGGAGCGGUCAUGGGAAACUGGCAAGCUUGAGGGCAGCAGAGGAAAGCGGAAUUCCGGGAGUAGUGGUGGAAUGCGUAGAUACCCGGAGGAACACCAGAGGCGAAGGCGGCUUUCUGGGCUGUGCCUGACGCUGAUACACGAAAGCGUGGGGAGCAAACCGGAUUAGAUACCCGGGUAGUCCACGCCCUAAACGAUGGAUACUAGAUAUAGGGGGUAUCGACCCCUCCUGUGUCGGAGUUAACGCGAUAAGUAUCCCGCCUGGGGAGUACGGCCGCAAGGCUAAAACUCAAAGGAAUUGACGGGUCCCCGCACAAGCGGCGGAGCGUGUGGUUUAAUUCGAUGAUAAGCGAAGAACCUUACCUGGGCUUGACAUGCAUUUGACAACCCAUGAAAAUGGGCUUUCCUUCGGGACAGAUGCACAGAUGUUGCAUGGCUGUCGUCAGCUCGUG
rnacentral:rRNA from 1 species